rnacentral:rRNA from 1 species
UUAGGUAGUUGGUUAGGUAACGGCUUACCAAGCCAUUGAUCGGUACGGGUUGUGAGAGCAAGAGCCCGGAGAUGGAACCUGAGACAAGGUUCCAGGCCCUACGGGGUGCAGCAGGCGCGAAACCUCCGCAAUGUGAGAAAUCGCGACGGGGGGAUCCCAAGUGCCAUUCUUAACGGGAUGGCUUUUCAUUAGUGUAAAGAGCUUUUGGAAUAAGGGCUGGGCAAGACCGGUGCCAGCCGCCGCGGUAACACCGGCAGCUCUAGUGGUAGCAGUUUUUAUUGGGCCUAAAGCGUCCGUAGCCGGUUUAAUAAGUCUCUGGUGAAAUCCUGUAGCUUAACUGUGGGAAUUGCUGGAGAUACUAUUAGACUUGAGACCGGGAGAGGUUGGAGGUACUCCCAGGGUAGAGGUGAAAUUCUGUAAUCCUGGGAGGACCGCCUGUUGCGAAGGCGUCUAACUGGAACGGUUCUGACGGUGAGGGACGAAAGUUAGGGGCGCGAACCGGAUUAGAUACCCGGGUAGUCCUAACUGUAAACGAUGCGGACUUGGUGUUGGGGUGGCUUUGAGCUGCUCCAGUGCCGAAGGGAAGCUGUUAAGUCCGCCGCCUGGGAAGUACGGUCGCAAGACUGAAACUUAA